UACGGAGGGUGCAAACGUUGCUCGGAAUCAUUGGGCGUAAAGCGCACGUAGGCGGACCAUCAAGUCGGAUGUGAAAUCCCUCGGCUUAACCGAGGACGUGCAUUCGAAACUGAUGGCCUUGAGUACGAAAGAGGAUCGCGGAAUUCCCGGUGUAGAGGUGAAAUUCGUAGAUAUCGGGAGGAACACCAGUGGCGAAGGCGGCGAUCUGGGUCGAUACUGACGCUGGGGUGCGAAAGCGUGGGGAGCAAACAGG
rnacentral:rRNA from 1 species